GAAAUGCGAUAAGUUAUGUGAAUUGCAGAAUUCCGUGAAUCAUUAAAUCUUUGAACGCACAUUGCGCUCCCGGGUACUCCCGAGAGCAUGUCUGUUUGAGAAUCAGUUUAACCUCUCACGUUGUUUAAAUCUUUUUUCUCGCUUUAGGUGUUAUCGCCGGCUUCCAGCCACUAAACCCCCCUAUUUUCUAAUGGUUGACCUCGGAUCAGGUAGGACUACCCGCUGAACUUAA
rnacentral:misc_RNA from 1 species